GAUUAUGUGAGAAUAAAACAACAAAAUAGAUCUUUUCAUCUGUAUGUUACAAAUUAAAGCUGGUUUCCCGGACUGUAAUUAGGUAAAUAUUUAUAAGUAUUCAAAGCAUGGAUAAAUAUAAUAAAAAUAUAAAAAAACUAGCAAAAAAUAUAAAUGGUGUAUUGUCUAAUAAUAGUUUGUUAUUCUGUGUCUUGCAAUGCGCUGUACAUUACUACAAGAACAAAAAUGUAUUGGAACAAUAAAAGAAAUGUAUUACCAUAAGGAGACCCUCCACUGGGGUGACCCUCUUCCACCCACCUCUUUUUUCUCAUACCCACACUUUUCCUUUUCCACCCUCUAUACCUUCCCGCUGACCACAGCAGCCCCCUCCUAGACCACGGUGCUGUGUGGCAGGCAGGUUCUUAUAGACGGCACGACUGUACGGGAUGAAGCAGAGGCCUAGCUGGAGGUGACGAGCCAGUCUGCAGUACGCAGCCAGUGCCAGGACCAGGAGUGGGGUGACGAGGAGGAAGCCCACCACUAACAGCGCCACACAUCCCCCAUCGCUGAGCAGGUCCGAGCAGUAGGCGAUUUUUCCGUGUGGGCGCACCUUGUGAAGGAAGAAGAAGAGUGUGCUCAGAUACCAGUGAAGUAGAAAAAAAGAGGAUGCAGUGAUGAGACAGAGAGAAGACAUCAAAAGGAGUAUGACGCGAAGAAAGGAUUCUCCGUUUAUUUGUGACAGAAUAAAGUAUGCAGAAAUACAGA